rnacentral:rRNA from 1 species
AUUGAACGCUGGCGGCAUGCCUUACACAUGCAAGUCGAACGAGAACGGAAUAUAGCUUGCUAUAUUUGUCAGCUAAGUGGCGCACGGGUGAGUAAUGUAUAGAUAACCUGCCCUUAAGAAAGGAAUAACAGUUGGAAACGACUGCUAAUGCCCUAUAUGCCUUUAAUACAUAAGUAUGCAAGGGAAACGCUUUAGUGCUUAAGGAUGGGUCUGUAUGGUAUCAGCUUGUUGGUGAGGUAAUGGCUCACCAAGGCUAUGACGCCUAACUGGUUUGAGAGGAUGAUCAGUCACACUGGAACUUGGACACGGUCCAGACUCCUACGGGAGGCAGCAGUGGGGAAUAUUGCACAAUGGACGAAAGUCUGAUGCAGCAACGCCGCGUGGAGGAUGACACAUUCCGGUGCGUAAACUCCUUUUAUAUAGGAAGAUAAUGACGGUACUAUAUGAAUAAGCACCGGCUAACUCCGUGCCAGCCGCCGCCGUAA